CGCAUCUGUGCAUGCAGCAUAUCAAUAAGCGGAGGAAAAGAAACUAACAAGGAUUCCCUUAGUAACGGCGAGUGAAGCGGGAAGAGCUCAAAUUUGAAAUCUUCAAGGUUUUACCUUGACGAAUUGUAGUUUAAAGAAGUGUUUUCUGUUGAAGUUUUGGUAAAAGUUCUUUGGAAUAGGACAUCAUAGAGGGUGAGAAUCCCGUAUUUGACCAUUAUUUUCAGCUGUGUGAUACACUUUCAAAGAGUCGGAUUGUUUGGGAAUGCAGUCCAAAAUGGGUGGUAAAUUUCAUCUAAAGCUAAAUAUUGGCGAGAGACCGAUAGCGAACAAGUACCGUGAGGGAAAGAUGAGAAGAACUUUGAAAAGAGAGUUAAACAGUACGUGAAAUUGUCAAAAGGGAAGCGUUUGACACCAGUGUUGUUUUCUCGAAAAUCAAUUAAAAAGAGUUAGAUUUUGUUGUGUAUUGACCUUAACAGCUUGCAUUUCAAUUUUCUUGCUUUUUUUAAUGCACUUUUCGUUUAACAAGUCAACAUCAGUUUCUUUUGUUGUAAAAAGGUCAUUGGAAGGUGGCUUUCUUUUCGGAGAAAGUGUUUAUAGCCUUUGACUCCUGCAAUCGGAGAGACUGAGGUCUGCAGCGUAGAUCCUUCGGGGUUAGAUACAUUUGUGCUAAGUUAUAGCUUUUUAUAGACAACUUGUUGACUAUGAUUAGUCUUGUAGCUUACUCGCUUAUGCUAUUUUACCUACGCUUAGGAUGUUGACACACGCGCGUGCUCGAUGAUAGUCUAUACAUGACUCUGUGCAUAUCAAUAAGCGGAGGAAAAGUCAACUACCUACGCUUAGGAUGUUGACACACGCGCGUGCUCG
rnacentral:rRNA from 1 species